rnacentral:rRNA from 1 species
UACAGAGGUGCCGAGCGUUAGGCGGAAUCACUGGGCUUAAAGCGCGUGUAGGCGGGUCGUUAAGUGUCCGCGUGAAAUCCCACGGCUCAACCGUGGGAACUGCCGGGCAUACUGGCGACCUUGAGGCACUUAGGGGCGAGCGGAACAAAUGGUGGAGCGGUGAAAUGCGUAGAUAUCAUUUGGAACGCCGACGGUGAAAACAGCUCGCUGGGAGUGUCCUGACGCUGAGACGCGAAAGCCAGGGGAGCGAACGGG